UACGGAGGGUGCUAGCGUUGUUCGGAAUUACUGGGCGUAAAGCGCGUGUAGGCGGUUAGGUAAGUUGGAAGUGAAAGCCCGGAGCUCAACUUCGGAACUGCUUUCAAAACUACCUAACUAGAGAACGGUAGGGGACAGUGGAAUUCCUAGUGUAGGGGUGAAAUCCGUAGAUAUUAGGAGGAACACCAGUGGCGAAGGCGACUGUCUGGACCGUUUCUGACGCUAAGACGCGAAAGCGUGGGUAGCAAACAGG
rnacentral:rRNA from 1 species